UACAGGGGGGGCAAGCGUUGUUCGGAAUUACUGGGCGUAAAGGGUCUGUAGGUGGCCAACUAAGUCAGACGUGAAAUCCCUCAGCUUAACUGGGGAACUGCGUCUGAUACUGGAUGGCUUGAGUGGGGAGAGGAAUGCGGAAUUCCAGGUGUAGCGGUGAAAUGCGUAGAUAUCUGGAGGAACACCGGUGGCGAAGGCGGCAUUCUGGACCAUAACUGACACUGAGACGACGAAAGCCAGGGAGACAAACGGG
rnacentral:rRNA from 1 species